rnacentral:lncRNA from 1 species
UGUUAUUUAUGUAUUAUUGUCAUUUUGUUUAUUUUCUUUGGUUACAUCUUCUGACAUCAGACUCGGACUUCUCUUGAACUGAAUUUUAAUGUGCGUAUUGUUAUGCGUUUACUUUUCUGCAUUGGCUAGAGGUAUAGCGGGAGGGUAGAGAUCUCACAAACAUGUUUAACCCCGCCGCAUUUUUGCGCCUUUCCCAAGUCAGGAGCCUCUGACCUUUGUUAGUCUUGUAUUAUUUUAACUUUUGGUUUCUUGUGUACAAUUUGGAGUUUAGUAUGGCGUUCAUUAUCUCUGAACUAGUAUAUAUAUUUGUUUAGGGGCAAGCUGAAGGACGCCUUCGGGUGCGGGAAUUUCUCGCUGCAUUGAAGACCUGUUGGUGACCUUCUGCUGUUGUCUG